CGAUUUGGUUUUUCUCUGCUUGUUGGCUUCUGUCUUGUUGGUGUCAGAGGCAAAGGUGCCAGACGGCAUGUGGAGGCGCGGCAGACAGAGGCUAGGGUAGGGUGCGGCGCCACUUGGGUUAGGGGGGCUAGGGUUUCUAUUAGGUGUUUAGGUUUUGGGCUGAUUGGGCUGUUAGAGUUUUUAUUUUUUUGGACUUGUAUUUGGGUUUGUUGUUUUUUUUGUAAAUGGACUGGAUAUUUGAGAUUUUUUUUAUUUUAUUUAUUAUUUGUAUUUGGUCUUAGGCCCAGGUAAAAUUGGCCUACUACAGCUACUUAUUUAAAUUUUAUUUUACUCAUAAUUUAAUCUAUUGCUAUUUAUUCUAACAUCAUAAUAUGUCAU
rnacentral:lncRNA from 1 species